GGUAGCACUGGACCCCCCUAAAAUCUGAUUGGACCCCCCAGGUGCCACCCCAGAUGAUUGACAAUGACAUAUCGCGGCACCGACUGCUAAGUCCUUCCUGUACAGUAGUUGGCGCUAUGUACCUUAAAGCGUUGCAAAUUCGCUUUCAUGAGGAGAAGAAGAAUCGCCACUGAAACGGAGGAAGAUUUGAGAUUUGAGUACUUGGUCAUCGUUGACGGAACGGAACACGGAAGAUAAACAAAGUGACAAGAACAAACAAGGAGACGAACUUGGAUACCCUGCCUUCAAGCCACUGAAAUCCUCGUCGUAAUUUUUCCUUCCCCGUGAUUCUGCUUUCGUGGAUUCCUGCCGUUUUCGCAGUGAGAGCACUAUACCUUUUGGGCACAUGUUACCAAGAAUAUGAGCGCUCCAGAGCAGCACAGCUGCAGGAGCAGAAGUCUUAUCGCUUCCAGAGUUAAGGUGAAAGAGCAGCAGAAGGAUGAGACUCGAAAGCAGACGAGCAUGAGCCCUUCAGGCUCCCCUCACGACAUUCUGACUCCAUGGCUGACUUCAGUUCUAAAAGGGCCAAUCUUUGCAUUUCUAUAAGAGGAAACAUGUUGUCAUAAUCCACGCUUUAGUCAUCCCAAGGACGAUUAGUACGGUGCCCUUUCGACACAGCAGGUGACGCAUACUCUGACAGCUCAGUGCAUACUAAUGAGGGCUUAGGGCACUCUGCUAUUAUAGGUCACUUUUAAAGUCUGGGUCUAUGGUAAAUGAAGGAAAGGUUCAAAAUUAAAACAACUUACCCCGUAAACCUUCUGGUAAAAUGGUAAUAAAACAUGCAGAAACUAAUUUCCGACUGGGACAUGGCUCACGUUAUGCAAAAGCAAUCGAGGUAUCAAUGCAAAUUAUCAACAACUUCAGUUAUUGCAUAGGCUCUAAUGAAACAAAUACAACUGUAGUACACAUUGUAUUUCAUUAGUUGACACUCCAAGAGCCUGUAGGCUGCCAAUGUACAUACAGUCCCUGACAAAAAUCUUGUCGCUUAUCCAUUUUGUUGAAACAAUUGCUAAUAACCUGAAAGCUAAGACCCUCCCAAAUGAUGUUGAAUGUACAAAAAUAUAUUUGUUUCACUAAAAAAAGAUUUAUCAUUUAAUGAAGACUUAAGGUCAAAUUUUGGCAAGACAAGAAUUUCACCCCGCAGAUCUCUCGCACACCCCCACACUGGAUAUAACCCCAAACCAUGAUUUUGCCACCACCAAACUUCACUGUUUUCUGAGUGAAUCUCGGAUCCAUGCGGGCUCCAGUAGGUCUCCUGCAAUUUUUGCGGUGACUGUGGUGUAAUUCAUUGAAAGUUUGAUCUGAAAAUCCACCUUUUGCCACUUUUCCAGCGUCCAUCCUUUUGACAGGCUGUGGGCCUUGGCAAAUGCCACAUGGUUUUUUAAUUGUCUGCACCCCGAGAGAUCUGCAGGGUGGAAUGCAACAUAAAUAGUCUGAAAUAUCAACAAAUCUUAGCUGCCUCUUACAUUCAUAACCAUAAAAAGGGACAAAUUCUGCAGCAGGAUGGUGCUCCAUCGCAUUCUUCAAUCUUUACCUCAAAGUUCCUCAAGGCUAAGAAGAUCAAGAUUCUCUAGGACUGGCCAGCCCAGUCACCAGAUAUGAACAUCAUUUAGCAUCUAUGGGGUAGGAUAAAAGAAGAAGCAUGGAAGACGAAACCCGAGAAUGUUGAUGAACUCUGGGAGGCAUGCAAGACUGCUUUCUUUGAUGUUGCUGAUGACUUCAUCAAUAAAUUGUAUGAAUCCUUCCCUCCUUCAAGCCCAUGGAAGUCAUAUAAAAUAUUAAAUUUGGAUUUCACAGCACCACUACUUAAUUCGCUUCUGUUAUGUAACAUAUUUCUGUAUUUGAAGUACUUUUUUUGUUCAAUUUUCACACUACUUUCUGUAGGCGACAAAACUUUUGUCUUGCCAAAAUUUGACCUUUAUGUCUUAAUUAAAUGAUAAAUAUUUUUUCAGUGAAACAAAUAUAUUUUUGUACAUUCAACAUCAUUUUGUAGGGUCUUAGCUUUCAUAUGAGCCAUUUCUGAAACCAAUUGAAUAAUUAAAAGUCAGGUAAUUAGCAAUUGCUCCUACAAAAUGAGACUUUUGUCAGGGACUGUACACAUGAUCAGGCCCGGAGUGGCUAAUCGGGAGGAUCGGGACACUUCCCGGUGGGCCGGCCUGACGUUUGGUCCGGUGUGCUGGCAUAAAGUAGAUUUGUUCAACAUUAAGCUGCUAUCAACAGCAGAGAUACUAUUUCAACAAGGGAUACCCAUUCGUCAGAACAAGCACCUAAAACCUCCAGAAUGGAGGCUCCAGGCACUUCGUGCUUCUGUCGCGGCCGCCCGAAGCUCACUAUUUUGGGGGCACAAAGAGAGGAGGAUUGGGGCAAAAUUCACGUUCUCAGGCAAAACAUAACUUGGCAUGGCACUCUGAGGUGGACUGAUGGGCGCAAACUACCCUGAGAUGCACAGAUAUUCGAACUGUAUAAGUGCUUUGGGAAAUUGGGAGACAGCAGUUUUUGUGAGUUCAAUCAUGUUAUCGUUCACAUUAAAUGUUUUUUGUAUUUUUAUGUCAUAAGUAAUAUGAAACCACUGAUAACCAAUUAUAUAUUACAUUAAAGUAUAUACAAUACUGAUUGAAAAAUUUGAAUAUCAAGUAAAAGUUGUUUAAUUUAGGCAAUUUAACAUAAAAGAUUAAACCAUCAAAAUGGUAUAUGUGAAUUUGCAUAUAAUGGGUCAUCUAAAGCAGUUCCUCAUAACUUUUCUGAUUCUGAAGAUUUGUCAGCUUAUUAUAACCACAAAAGUAAAACAAACAAACAAAAAAUACGAUGAAAAGCUUCAGUUUUGUACACAGUUGACACAUGUGGAAUUCAAAACACCUACAAAAGGUUUCUGAGCCUUUAAAAAGUCAGUCUAAUAUAAACUCAAUUUAUAGAUCCCCAGUACCCCCCCCAAAUAAAUGGCAACUCCACACAGAACCCGUGCUUGAGCCCUUGAUCUCAGAACAGUCAGCAGACAUACUAACCACUCUUCUGCCAGGCUUCCUUUUUUACAAGUAAUUUGGGGAAAAUCUUUACAAGUAUAAAGUAAAACUCUUUUCUUGUUUUUAAUGAAGCUUACGUUUGAAUGAUGUAAGGUAAGCACAUUGGUGAACUCCUGCUCUAAUAAAUGUAUUUAAAAAUUGAAAUACAUAAUUUUUGCAUUGAAAAAAAUGCCACUAAUGGCAAGUGUACUAUUGACAGCAUGCGAUUUAAAAAAAAAAAUGAAUCGCUUGACAGCAUGAUUACCGUAUUGGCUUGAAUAUAAGACGGUGUUUUUUGCAUUGAAAUAAGACUGAAAAAGAGGAGGUCGUCUUAUAUUCGCGGUCUAGACAUUAUACCCAUUCACGACGCUAGAUGGCGGCAGAUAUCAUUGAAGCGAUGUUCUUUCAUGACAAAUCUCAGCUACUCUCCCCAUUCACGACGCUAGAUGGCGCCAGAUAUCAUUUAAGCGAUAUUCUGUCAUGACAGAUCUCAGCUACUCUCAAGUUUAACCAGUUUGCAUUAUUUUAUUGCAAUGUUUUUCCUUCCUUCCUUUCCUUUCCUUUCCUUAUUCAGAUUUGUUUUAAGACUGCAGUUACAGUUAGACUUCACUUUGAUGGUAAAUGCAGUUAUUGCAAUUUUCUUGUUUUAUCAAAAUAGAUUGGUUUAUUUACAUUUCAAAAACCAGAAGCCAUUCAUUUACGAAUGUGAUUGCACUUUACAUAUUUAAAUGUUCAAAUAUUAAGAUUUGAAUGAGGCAAAAUAACAUGCUUUUUCUCUCAAAUAUAUUGUUAUAGUCAUUUGUUUCGGAUGUACUGUAAUUAUUUUCUGUAUAAAAAUUAAUUUGGUGUUCAAAAAGUCUUUUUUCAAAUUUGAGUCUUGAAAAAGAGGCGGUCGUCUUUUAAUCAGGGCCGUCUUAUAUUCGGGCCAAUACGGAAUUAUUACACUAUUUCACUACGGUAGGUCAUGAUAUAAAGUGGGCCGGUCUGUGGCAUGAAACUCCCGGUAACUCAAGCGAAGUUGAUAGUACAGCCAUGAAGUUGAAUGUUGAAAUGAAGACCGCCAGAACUAUCAAACCAAAUGUUCCAUCAAAAACUUGAGUUAGUUACAUACAAUAAUAAGUUAUAUAUAAUCAUGAAAUGAGGAAUGAUAUUUCUUUGAAUAUAUCUUGUUUUGUUCCAUUACAUUAAGAUUUGUACUGUAUUAUCCAAAAUAGAAAAUCAAAAACAAGACUUCAACUGAUUGCAAUGGGAUUGACAUGAUAAUUGUAAAAAAUGUAAUACAUAGUAUAGUAAAUCCACUAACCUACAUCUGCAACUUCUCUUUUAGUACUGGAGUUUUUCCACAGAAAAUGAAAACGGCCAAAGUCAUUCCACUUUAUAAAACAGGUGAUAGCAAAUUAUAUUCCAGUUAUCACUCAAUGUCUUUAUUGUGCCAGUUCUCAAAAGUACUGGAGAAAGUGUUUGAAAAGAGACUUAAAAUUUUCUUUUUUCAACUGCACUUGCAUUGCUUGACCGUACUGAAGCAAUAACCAUGAUAUAUUACUUGUGGAAAUGGAAAGAUACGGGUUUAGAGGCAUUGUUCUGGAAUGGUUAAAAAGUUACAUGGGAAAUCGCAAACAGUACAAACAGAUUGGUGAUUACAGAUCAUCAUUAUUGGACAUUACAGUUGGAGUACCACAGGGCUCUGUAAUGGGUCCAGAACUCUUUACACUAUUUAUCAAUGACUUAUGUAUGACAUCUAAAAAAGUUAAAAUUUUUACUCUUUGCAGAUGACACUAACAUUCUAUGCUCAGGAAAAAUGUUAUAGAAUCUGAUGCAUGAGGUAAUGACUGAAUUAACAUAUCUGAAUCACUGGUUCAGGCUAAACAAAUUAUCAAUAAAUAUGGAAAAAACUAAUAUAUUUCAUUUGGAAAUAAAAUGACAAAAACUGAAGAUAAUUAUAGACAAUAGCGAAAUUGAGCGAGUAACUGAGACUAAAUUUUCUAGGUGUAAUACUGGAUGAACAAAUGAAUUGGAAGUCACAUUAGUAAUGCCAUACCUCAGCUACUGUGUGGAGGUUUGGGGCAAUACAUAUCCCAGCAAUUUAUGGUAACUUGUGGUACUUCAAAAUAAAGGCAAUAAGAAUAGUACACAAGGCUAAAUACCUUGAACAUACAGAUAGACUGUUCUUGGAAUCCAAGCAGUUAAAAUUCCUGGAUCUAGUCAAAUUCAAAAUGGCCAUAAUCAUGUUUAAGGCACAGAAAAACGCAUUACCUGGAAAUAUUUUAAGUUUUGUUUUCAAAUAGACAAGGAGGGUAUCAUCUGAGAGGGGAGUUAAACUUCAAAAAGCAAUAUCACCGUACAACAAAAAAGAGCUUCUGUCCUUCAAUUUGUGGUGUGGACAUGUGGAACAAACUUACUGAGGACCUAAAGAAAAGCGCUAAUUUGAGCGUGUUUAAGAGAAAAUACUAGGAUCUUGUUUUCUGUAAUUAUAGAAAUGAAUCAUAGUAUUUAUGUUAAGAAAAUGUUGAGUGAUGCCAACCUUUGUUCUUUAGGCAUUAUUGAACUGUUGUGAAUUGUAUUUGUUUUGUCUGAUUCAUGCUGAUGAGUAUGUAGCAGACAAAGGGGUAGGAUUUAUGUUUUUUUUACUUCUCCCAACUCCUUUUCGAGUCUUAUGUUUUGUUUGUAUUCUUGUAUAUCUCUAAUGUGAUGCAUGUUUUCGAAAUAAAUUCAAUCAAUCAAUCAAUAACAGGAACGUUGUAAUUGGGUAUGGCUAGCUGGCCCCAAAAAAUGAUCUUUUUUUUUUUCGCAUAUCAUCGGAUUUUGAUACUCUUCACAAUUUUUAAAACUUGGUUUUCAUGUUUCUCUCUUUUUGUUUUGUUUUUGUACAAUUUUUAAAAUAUAAUUUUGUGUCCCACACUGUAUAUUGGCAUUGAAAUAGCAAUUGAAAAAAUGAAAUGCAUUUUACUUUAUAAUUCAUUCAUUUUCCACGCCGCUUUUUCCUCACGAGGGUCGCGGAGGUGCUGGAGCCUAUCCCAGCUAACAAUGGGCAGUAGGCAGGGGACACCCUGAACUGGUUGCCAGCCAAUCGCACAAGGAAACAUACAACCAUUCAUGCACACACUCAUACCUACGGACAAUUUAGAGUGUUCAAUCAGCCUACCAUGCAUGUUUUUGGGAUGUGGGAGGAAACCGGAGUUCCCGGAGGAAACCCACGCAGGCACGGGGAGAACAUGCAAACUCCACACAGGAAGGCCGAAGCCCGGGAUUGAACCCUUAAUCUCAGAACUGUGAGGCAGACGUGCUAACCACUCAGCCACCGUGCCGCCUUACUUUAUAAUAUUUGUAAUUUUAUUUAUUUCAUUGUGUUUAGCUUUACAGUUCACCUCACCUGUUGGGUUAUAAACAGCUUAAAAACUAUAAACAUUAGACUCCUUUUGAGGGACUGCUCAAAAUCUGCCAAACUAGUCAAUUUGAAUAUGCAUAUGUUUGAUUAAAUGUGACAUGGCUGAUCACCAAUAUCGAUUAAAAAUUUGUC